GGAGAAAUAUGUGCUACUCUGAGCGAUUAAGGAGGCAUACUGAUUUAGUCUUGACCUCUCAAGACUAAGGCUUCUUUAAGACAGAGACACUUCAUCUGCUGCAAAAGGGCUCUCCAUAGAAAUCUCAAGGACACAACUUUUCCCCCCAUCUUGUGGAAGGAUGACAUUUUCUGAUAUUUGCUUCAAACUCUGAGUGAGACCCUAUGCAGGUCCCACAGAUAUCUAAGGUCAAAAUCUGCUGCAUCGGUGCCUGGAGAAUGCUUGGUGGUGACGACUUGAUCAAUAUCUCCAAGACACUGGCUCCUAGCAACAUUUUGAAUUAACUUGGCUUUAAAUGUUCCAGCUCCCUUUGCUCAGGAAAGCUCAUGAAAAAGAAACACUAAAAUUAAGGCUAAUGAUUAUAGAGAAAAAACAUGUAGUACACCUCACAGAUAAUACAUGAGACUAGCUUCAUCUUCCUUCUGUAACACGUUUAUGAUGAACAGAACACAACCUUUUUCUGGAUGGCAUUUUCAGCUGAUGUGUCACAGCAUGAAAGGGUCUAAAGAUUACAUGUACUUCCCAUUCUUAGCUUGUUAUAAGGCAGGAGGAACAGAGGAUGAGGGAUUUUGUGGCUGUGAUUUUUACAUGAAGAGCAGGGAUGGGUGUUAGGUCCCUAGCCUGAUAUUUAAAUCUAAGAUUACCUGGAAACUAAGCAGGAGAAAGAAAAAAGCAGGCUAUAUUAUAAGCACAGCCAAUAUCAAAUAAACUUUGAAAGACUUCUCUGGAAAUGCUGUUAAAAUUCAGCUCAAACCUUUAUUUGUUUAUUUGUUUGAUUUUUCCCUGAGACGGAGGCUACAAGAAGCAGAAAAGCAAAUACCCUAUGUGAUGCUUGUAUUUGAGAACUACAGAGAGAGGUUAACUGAUGAAGUUCAAGUGUCAAGGAGAAUACCCACUUUGAGCCACUUCAGAUCUUGGGAGGUGCCAAUCUUCCUGGGUCCUGAUAUUAAAGUCCUCAGAGUAUGCAGCUAGGUCCAGUUGGCAGGAUAGAGCAUCAAAUGACAUUUGGAAGACUGGUCUAAUCUGAUAAACAAUUAAAUCACAUUCCCCUGAAAUUUGCCUUUCCAAAUAUUGUCUGUACUGAAGUCAAGAUAAGAAGUCAAAUUGUGAAAAUGUAUUGGUUUAAAAAUGAAAUGGCCUCUGAUAUGCAUUGAAGCAAUGCCUCUGUUCAUUGAGUCACCUUUCUAGAAUUCUCUAAGUGUCACCUGCAACCUCUUUUUUUCUCUUUAAACCACCUGCUUUCACAUUCACCCACUCUACUUCCUACCUGUCUUUUCUAUUUAUUGACUCACUAGAAUUAGUCACUCAUUUUGGUGCUAUUUCUGCUCCAGGGUUACCCAAGUUAAUAUGUAUGUAACUGUGGCUUACUUGUAGUUCUUUGAAGUCAGAUAAAUCAGAGGCAAAUGCAGAACCAAAGAAGUGAGGGGACUGAUAAGGAGAC
rnacentral:lncRNA from 1 species